AUUAUAGGUGACGAUUGCAUCGCUAUAAACAAUGGUUGUAGCUUCAUCAAUAUAUCUGGUAUUUUUUGUGGGCCAGGUCAUGGCAUCAGUGUUGGUACUCUCGCAAAAGGCGGAUCACUUAAUACAAUUGAAGAGGUAUAUGUAAAAGAUUGCACCUUCAAUGGGACAUCAAAUGGAGCGAUAAUCAAGACAUGGCCGGGAGGACGUGGAUAUGCGAGGAAUAUCAUAUACGAAAAUAUCAAAUUUAUUGGAGUCAAGAAUCCUCUGAUUAUUGACCAAAGUUAUCACCCUCUCGAUAAUUAUGAUAAUGGUAGCGAAACAUUGAAAGUGAGUAAUGUUACUUACAAGAACAUUUGGGGAACCUCAAUUAGUAAGGAUGCAAUCCAACUUAAUUGUGGACCAAAAGCUGGCUGCACAAACAUUGUACUCAAUCAUGUUAACAUAAGAGGUGUUGGUAAAGGCAAAACAUUUGCAACUUGCACUAAUGCACAUGGAACAUCCUCUUCAAGUUCUCCAAAUGUCCCAUGUCUUUCUGGAAAAUAAUAAUGCUUUUAUUUAUUUAUUAAAAACAGAUUAUGUUUCGGUACU